GUUGGGCAUGGUGGCACAUGCCUGUAGUCUCAGCUAUUUGGGAGGCUGAGGCUGGAGGAUCUCUUGAGUCCAGGAGUUCUGGGCUGUAGCAUGCUAUGCCAAUCGAAUGUCCGCACAAAGUUCGGCAUCAAUAUGGUGACCUCCCAGGAGCGGGGGACCACCAGGUUGCCUAAGGAGGGAUGAACCGGCCCAAUUCGGAAACAGAGCAGGUCAAAACUCCCGUGCUGAUCAGUAGUGGGAUCGCGCCUGAGAAUAGCCAUUGCACUCCAGCCUGGGCAACACAGUGAGACCCCGGGGUCUCU
rnacentral:SRP_RNA from 1 species